GACGAACGCUGGCGGCGUGCUUAACACAUGCAAGUCGAACGAUGAAGCCCAGCUUGCUGGGUGGAUUAGUGGCGAACGGGUGAGUAACACGUGAGCAACGUGCCCGAAACUCUGGAAUAACUACCGGAAACGGUGGCUAAUGCUGGAUAUGUGCCAGGGAGGCAUCUCCUCUGGUUGGAAAGAUUUUUCGGUUUCGGAUCGGCUCACGGCCUAUCAGCUUGUUGGUGGGGUAAUGGCCUACCAAGGCGACGACGGGUAGCCGGCCUGAGAGGGUGACCGGCCACACUGGGACUGAGACACGGCCCAGACUCCUACGGGAGGCAGCAGUGGGGAAUAUUGCACAAUGGGCGCAAGCCUGAUGCAGCAACGCCGCGUGAGGGAUGACGGCCUUCGGGUUGUAAACCUCUUUUAGUAGGGAAGAAGCGCAAGUGACGGUACCUGCAGAAAAAGCACCGGCUAACUACGUG
rnacentral:rRNA from 1 species